AAUUUGUACUCGCAAGUGGCACAACAUCUUUAUUCACAGACUCUCAUCGGAAGGAAUAUACAAAUUAUAGUAACGAUGUUCGAAACAAAAAGGUUCUAUCCGUUCUAUCGUAUCUUUAAAGUCAUGUGACAACAGAGGAAUCGUCAAGUCCUGCACCGAUUUUCGCCUCUCUUGAGGAGGACGAAGAACAUAUUUGCCGGAAAAUGUAAACACUCAAGAGUUUCGAAGUUUUCCGACAGUUUCCAAGCUUUUGAUCGUGGGUCAAACUGUUCCUGGUAUUUGGAGGUGGAGGCUGGCAGCAUCAAUGUGCAAUGGAUGGGCCAAACUUGAGGUCAAACGAUGUACUAAUCAAACAGGUUCCAUAGUUUCUAUAAAGUCCUGUCAACAGAGGAAUCAUCAAACCCUGCCUCGAUUGCCACCGCUCUUGGGGAGGACGAGGAACAAAUUUACCGGAAAAAUGUAAACACUCAAGAGUUUCGAAGUUGUCCGACAGUUUCCAAGCUUCUACGUGGGUCAAACUAAUCCUGGUAUUUGGUGGAAGCUGCUAGCAUCAAUGUGCAAUUGAUGGGCCAAACUUGAGACCGAAGCAUUUGCAAUAUCUUCCAGCACAGGAAUGCACUCAGAAGCAUGGCUCCAACUGCUACGGAAGCUCAAGAGCGGGACUCGAAAACCUGUUGAUUCAGUUUAGCAGUUAAUUCAGGUCGCCUAAGUGACUGGUCUUGCAGCACCGAAUAGCUCAUCAAAAGAGGUGCAAACUUUCAACUCCGGUGAAUUCUGAUAUCACCAGCACUGCAUUUCAAACCUAGGUUGAUGGUCUCGCAAUCCGAAAAAAGGUUGGAUAGGAUCACAUUCUGCUGCUUACGGUGAAGCUUCAUGCCGUCUAACUACCCUGAGCUGUUGGCUAUAGUCUAGGAAUGGAACAUCAGCUGCCAAACAAAACGGUUAAACCAGUUUUUAAAUUGGAAUAUUUUUAAAUUUUUCAAUUUCAAUCUAAAUCAAUAAUAGGUCUUUCAACAAAACCAGAAGAUCAGUGUAUCCACUAUACACAUACAAUACUAACGUGGUUAAAUUUCUUUUAUAAAAAAAGAUGUAUCAACUUUUUUUUUUUUUUUUUUUUUUUUUUUUGUGGCGUUUAAAUAGCUGUGGGAAGCUGACGCUGAAAAUGAAAUGUGGGUAGAGGGGUCGGGGAAAUAAAAGUUUAGAGUAGGCAGCUUAGAAUAGUAAGCGAUCUUGAGACGUUGGUUAUACCAUCCUGCACUUCCUUAAGUCCACUUCGGAUGAAUAUGAACUGAAAGUAGAACAAGAUAGUGAACUAACCCCUCAUGAUACCAGUUGGAGGAAAUACGUUGGCGGUUUGAGACAGGUCGCUUAAUGAAUCCCAACGAAACUAACUACAGUAUUUAUAUACAAUUUAAAACAAUAAAAUAAAAUGGAACGCUCUCACCAUGUUAUAGAACUCUAUGUUCAGCUGUUGAUAAAAUCCUUGGGAUGAGAGCCAUAUGUUGCGAAACCAUCUUAG